UCACUGAAUCUUUCACGUCCAUCGUGCCAUGUAUACCUAACGUCCAAGAAUAUGUCGGCAUUGGAUGAACGUCGAGUGUUCCCCGUUAAUAAUCUUCCCUAUACCUGAACUGCACUAAUGACAAAGUUAACUUUUUUUGUGAAAAUUCAGGUUUCAUCUUCAUCUGUACUUUCUAAAAAUGAGUUGUAUUAAGCAAUUAAAAUUCAGAAAUUUCAACACCCACAAAGCUAUUGUAAGGAAUAUGAUAAAGGGGCGAUGGUGGAAGAGUGGUGGAUGAGGUUGAAGAUGAUUGUGAAAGUGGAUGGUUGCAGGUGGUGUUGAGAUGAGGAAGAGGUAGGUGGUGGUUUAGGUGAGGCCCACUUAAGUUUAAAUUUAUCUUUAAAUGUUUUAUUUAUCUUUAAAUUUAUCUUUAAUUUCACACUCACUUAACACUAAAAACUAACUCUCAUCGAUGCCAGGGACUAUCCGGGAACAAAAUUGAAAAGUUGGGGACUAUAUAGGUAAUUUUAGAAAGUUAGGGACUAAAUGUGAAAAAAGACCAAACCACAUGGACUAUCCGGGCAUUUAACUCUUCUUAGAGCAUUCACAUCCAUUCCACCAUAUUUUCACUCUAAAUUACACUAAGGCCAUGCGUAGUCAUAAAGCCCCUGUGUGGGCGUUAUGCGACACGUGGCGGCCACGUGUGCGGGUGGGCGUUAUGGGGCAUUAUGCAUUUAAGCCCGUAGUCAUAAAGCCCCUACCCAUUAUUACCUAAUUAUUAAUUUUCAAUUUUAUUAUUAAUUAAAAAAACUCUAUUCUAUUUUUUGAUUGGCCAAAUGAAGUAACCAAACAAAAAUAACGCCGCGAUAUGUAUCGCGCCGCCCAACAAAAAAAACCCCAUAACGCCGCCCGUCGCAGUGUUCAGGGCGUUAUGGGGCGUUAUGAGAGAAAAAGGGCACCACAUGGAGCCCCACUACGUAUGCUCUAAAAAAAACUACAUUUUCUCUUUUUUUUUCAAUUAAAUAAUAUUUUUAUACCUUUAUAAUUAUCUUUUCUCUCUCUACCACUCACAACCACUUUCAAAAUAUUAAAAAAUUAUAGGGGGUGAACAACGUCCUCCAAAAUAUACAGAUGAACAAUAAUAUUUUCUCUCUUCCACUUAUAACCACUUUUUAUACCCUUUAUACUAUAAAAACUCCAUACACAAAAUUUAAUAAAAUGGAUGUAAAUGCUUUUAGAACUUAAGUACAACCUAACUAUUAUUUAUUGCUAGGAAAGCCGUUC
rnacentral:lncRNA from 1 species